rnacentral:rRNA from 1 species
CACUGCGCCGAAAAUGUACCGGGGCUAAACAUAUUACCGAAGCUGUGGAUUGUUCGUAGGACAAUGGUAGGAGAGCGUUCUAAGGGCGUUGAAGCAUGAUCGUAAGGACAUGUGGAGCGCUUAGAAGGGAGAAUGCCGGUGUGAGUAGCGAAAGACGGGUGAGAAUCCCGUCCACCGAUUGACUAAGGUUUCCAGAGGAAGGCUCGUCCGCUCUGGGUUAGUCGGGUCCUAAGCUGAGGCCGAUAGG